rnacentral:rRNA from 1 species
UACGGGGGGGCAAGCGUUGUUCGGAAUUACUGGGCGUAAAGGGCUCGUAGGUGGCCAACUAAGUCGGACGUGAAAUCCCUCGGCUUAACCGGGGAACUGCGUCUGAUACUGGAUGGCUUGAGUUCGGGAGAGGGAUGCGGAAUUCCAGGUGUAGCGGUGAAAUGCGUAGAUAUCUGGAGGAACACCGGUGGCGAAGGCGGCAUCCUGGACCGGUACUGACGCUGAGACGCGAAAGCGUGGGGAGCGAACAGG